rnacentral:rRNA from 1 species
AGUCGAACGCCAGCGAAAGGUGCUUGCACCUUUCAAGUGAGUGGCGAACGGCUGAGUAACACGUGGACAACCUGCCUCAAGGCUGGGGAUAACAUUUGGAAACAGAUGCUAAUACCGAAUAAAACUUAGUGUCGCAUGACACAAAGUUAAAAGGCGCUUCGGCGUCACCUAGAGAUGGAUCCGCGGUGCAUUAGUUAGUUGGUGGGGUAAAGGCCUACCAAGACAAUGAUGCAUAGCCGAGUUGAGAGACUGAUCGGCCACAUUGGGACUGAGACACGGCCCAAACUCCUACGGGAGGCUGCAGUAGGGAAUCUUCCACAAUGGGCGAAAGCCUGAUGGAGCAACGCCGCGUGUGUGAUGAAGGCUUUCGGGUCGUAAAGCACUGUUGUAUGGGAAGAACAGCUAGAAUAGGAAAUGAUUUUAGUUUGACGGUACCAUACCAGAAAGGGACGGCUAAAUACGUGCCAGCAGCCGCGGUAAUACGUAUGUCCCGAGCGUUAUCCGGAUUUAUUGGGCGUAAAGCGAGCGCAGACGGUUUAUUAAGUCUGAUGUGAAAGCCCGGAGCUCAACUCCGGAAUGGCAUUGGAAACUGGUUAACUUGAGUGCAGUAGAGGUAAGUGGAACUCCAUGUGUAGCGGUGGAAUGCGUAGAUAUAUGGAAGAACACCAGUGGCGAAGGCGGCUUACUGGACUGCAACUGACGUUGAGGCUCGAAAGUGUGGGUAGCAAACAGGAUUAGAUACCCUGGUAGUCCACACCGUAAACGAUGAACACUAGGUGUUAGGAGGUUUCCGCCUCUUAGUGCCGAAGCUAACGCAUUAAGUGUUCCGCCUGGGGAGUACGACCGCAAGGUUGAAACUCAAAGGAAUUGACGGGGACCCGCAC